rnacentral:rRNA from 1 species
AUUGAACGCUGGCGGCAUGCCUUACACAUGCAAGUCGAACGGUAACGCGGGGCAACCUGGCGACGAGUGGCGAACGGGUGAGUAAUGCAUCGGAACGUGCCCAGAAGUGGGGGAUAGCCCGGCGAAAGCCGGAUUAAUACCGCAUGAGACCUGAGGGUGAAAGCGGGGAUCGCAAGACCUCGCGCUUUUGGAGCGGCCGAUGUCAGAUUAGCUAGUUGGUGGGGUAAAGGCCUACCAAGGCGACGAUCUGUAGCUGGUCUGAGAGGACGACCAGCCACACUGGGACUGAGACACGGCCCAGACUCCUACGGGAGGCAGCAGUGGGGAAUUUUGGACAAUGGGCGCAAGCCUGAUCCAGCCAUGCCGCGUGCGGGAAGAAGGCCUUCGGGUUGUAAACCGCUUUUGUCAGGGAAGAAACGCUCUGGGCUAAUACCCUGGGGUAAUGACGGUACCUGAAGAAUAAGCACCGGCUAACUACGUG